GAGCUGGGGGUCAAGGUGGCAGCAGAAUUGGGGGGUGAGGUGCCUGUGGAGCUGGGGGUCGAGGUGGCAGCAGAAUUGGGGGUCGAGGUGCCUGUGGAGCUGUGGGUCGAGGUGGCAGCAGAAUUGGGGGUCGAGGUGCCUGUGGAGCUGGGGGUCGUGGUGGCAGCAGAACUGGGGGGUGAGGUGCCUGUGGAGCUGGGGGUCGAGGUGUCAGCGGAACUGGGGUUCGAGGUGGCAGUGGAGCUGUGGCUCACUGUGUGAGUGGAGCUGGGGCUUACGGUGGGAGAAGAGUUGGAGGUCGAGGUGGCCCCAGCAGAGGCGAUGGUGGACGUGCUUUGUCUCUGACUCGUACCUAUCAUGGUGGAAGUUGCCCCUGGGGAAAGGAAGAAUAGCAGCAGUUUAUACAGCAGCUGGGUAACGCCAAUCGCUUUUGCAAUUUCGGUUCUUGGUGUUGCCCUGUAGUGGCUGCAGGGGACCUUGCUUUUGAAGGCUCUGCUCCUGAGCUUAGGCCUCUGCCUGGACCCUGUGCUGCUUACAUUGCACAGUCACAAGUCCAGUCCGUGCAGAGGGCCCAGCCAGCUGCCUCCCUACAUCGGCAUCCUCCUGAUUCCUCCCUAUCCCUGCCCUGCUGAUGGGGCUGAGAGGCAUUUCCAGUAACAAGGAGACAUCUCCACCAAGAGCACAUCCAAAGACCAUGCGCAGAGACUGUUCAGUACACACAGCCCACCACCCACACUGGACAAGGAGACAAAUCAGAAACGAAGGGGGAAAGCUCCUGCGUUGCUCGACACCUCCCUAUUGCUGAUGGCACCAUCAAUAGCACAUUUCUUGGCUGCUGCUCUCCUACAAUGGAAAAAAAUCGGUGCCCUCAAAGCCAUCUCUCCUUCCUUGAUCCCCUUGCUCUGGGACUGAAUCAGAGCUGGUGCCCACUAGAGGGGAAAGGCUGCAUAUCACAUUUCCCACCCGCCUAGCCAGCCAGUGCCCCCAGCCUAGGGUGGGCAUGAAGCCAGCACCCUUGAGAUAAAAGGCCCCAUAUCCCACUUCCGGUUCCAAUCAAUUUGCAGAUGAUCAAGCCCUUUUAUUCAUCACAACAUACAUUAUUUCACUUUCCAUAAACCAUUUGCCAAUGGAACCUGUUCCCCUCAGAACUCCCAGGCCCUCUCAGGCCACUCUCUCCCGGCUUUUAUUCUCUCAUUUUUUAACUGUAAUUUUUGCUUAAAAAAAUGUUUCAAAACGCAGUGAGGCCCAGCAAGAUCCAUGAAAAUGGACGGGCAUUUGUCACUGGUCUUAUCUUGGGGCUGGGACAAUCUCGUUGUUCCUUGUUUGUACAGCACCUGGCACAACGGGGCCCUGAU